AAAAAAAAGAAUUGGAGGGAGAAUAUGGAGCAGAUAUAGAUGUAUUUUGCAUUUUGAGCACGUUUUUCAAUUUUCUUUUUUUCUGUACUUAAAUAGCUUUCUUCGGUGCAUCAAAAAGUCAUAUAUCUGAGCAAAAUGUAGAAUUUGAUGAAAUUCCAAAAUGCGAUAAUGGAAG
rnacentral:ribozyme from 14 species